rnacentral:lncRNA from 1 species
CGGGGGGUUGGGCAACCUGGCCAGGCGGGAAGUGCUGGCAGAGCUGUGAGGAAAGCUGUCAAGAGAGCAAAGCUGUGGGGCCGAGGGCAGAGCCAAGGAACAGAGCAUCACGCCUGGGCCCAAGCCUGCUGCAUCUGCAGCCCGGAAUUCCCCCCAUCGCAGAUUACUGCGUGCUGGCAACGGACAUGGGGGGAAGCUGAGACAACACCGCUCCUCCGAGCAGGGAGCUGGCUUGAAUGAAGACGACAGCUCUCAUGAGGAAACCUCUGCAUCCCUCUGCAGUGACCCCUGCUGGCUAGUGCAGGGCUUCGGUCUAGACACUACGGACCCUUCUCACACAGCAGGGACAACUCUCCCAGCACAGGGCCCAGCACUGGGGGCACAGGUCAGUAGCAUGAAACUGACUGAGGCGGAUUCUUGUGGCUUCAACAGACUCUCCCGCAGUGUGUUGGGGGGAAAUCUGCCCCCAGUCCCAGAACCCCCUUGCACCCUGUGCCCCAGACGUGGCCUGUGGCCUGGUGCCCACUGAAAUAAAGCGUGCCGGGGGUGCUGAAGCUGCA